CCCUGCUCCCUGCUACAAGCUAGAGGGGAUCCCCUGAAGCCCCUGCGGAGUGGGAGGGUCAGGGGAACGCGGAGCCUAGCCGUGUCAGGCAGCCUGGCUGGAGGAGGAGAGGGAGAGAAACAACAAACAAAUGUGACAUUGCAGAUCAACCUAUAGCAGUAACUGUUUGGAGCUGGUGUGAAGAGCCAGAUAAAGAAUGGGUGGGAGGCCUCCAGAGAAUUUGCCUUUGCUGCCUGGAGAUGAUCCUCGAGCCAUGGGAGAAACACAGAAAGAAGACAAGCUGCACAGGCCCCACUCCAAUAGGAGUGAGGGUCUGGGAGAAGACACUAUCUGCAACCAGGCUCCACCCGUAGACACUGAGAGCAGCAUGCAGCCUGCCAGAGAGGAUGGGGGCCAGGGAGAAGAUGGCACCAGCUGCUAUUGGAUUCUUUCUGUAGCCUCCGAGCAACAGCCCAAGUACGUAUCAAUGCACUCACUCUGCCGCUAAGUUUUCAAGUGUGCCAUCAGCAUAACACCCCCUUUGUAUAUCAAUAGCAUCCUCUGAAGAGCUGAAAGCCCUUCACAUCCAUCGAUUGCUUCACAAAUCUGGUGGGAAGUAAGUAU